rnacentral:rRNA from 1 species
UACGUAGGGUGCGAGCGUUGUCCGGAAUUACUGGGCGUAAAGAGCUCGUAGGUGGUUUGUCGCGUUGUUCGUGAAAACUCGCAGCUUAACUGUGGGCGUGCGGGCGAUACGGGCAGACUGGAGUACUGCAGGGGAGACUGGAAUUCCUGGUGUAGCGGUGGAAUGCGCAGAUAUCAGGAGGAACACCAAUAGCGAAGGCAGCUCGCUGGGACGUUACUGACACUGAGGCGCGAAAGCGUGGGGAGCGAACAGG